rnacentral:rRNA from 1 species
UACGAAGGGGGCUAGCGUUGCUCGGAAUCACUGGGCGUAAAGCGCACGUAGGCGGCUUUUUAAGUCAGGGGUGAAAUCCUGGAGCUCAACUCCAGAACUGCCUUUGAUACUGGGAGCUCGAGUCCGGGAGAGGUGAGUGGAACUCCGAGUGUAGAGGUGAAAUUCGUAGAUAUUCGCAAGAACACCAGUGGCGAAGGCGGCUCACUGGCCCGGUACUGACGCUGAGGUGCGAAAGCGUGGGGAGCAAACAGG